rnacentral:rRNA from 1 species
UACGUAGGGGGCAAGCGUUGUCCGGAAUUAUUGGGCGUAAAGAGCGUGUAGGCGGCCCCGUUAGUCCGCUGUGAAAGUCCAGGGCUCAACCCUGGAAUGCCGGUGGGUACUGCGGGGCUAGAGUCCGGAAGGGGCGAGUGGAAUUCCUGGUGUAGCGGUGAAAUGCGCAGAUAUCAGGAGGAACACCAAUGGCGAAGGCAGCUCGCUGGGACGUGACUGACGCUGAGACGCGAAAGCGUGGGGAGCAAACAGG